rnacentral:rRNA from 1 species
GAUGAACGCUGGCGGCGUGCCUAAUACAUGCAAGUCGAGCGAACAGACGAGGAGCUUGCUCCUCUGACGUUAGCGGCGGACGGGUGAGUAACACGUGGAUAACCUACCUAUAAGACUGGGAUAACUUCGGGAAACCGGAGCUAAUACCGGAUAAUAUAUUGAACCGCAUGGUUCAAUAGUGAAAGACGGUUUUGCUGUCACUUAUAGAUGGAUCCGCGCCGCAUUAGCUAGUUGGUAAGGUAACGGCUUACCAAGGCAACGAUGCGUAGCCGACCUGAGAGGGUGGUAGGCCACACUGGACCUGAGACACGGUCCAGACUCCUACGGGAGGCAGCAGUAGGGAAUCUUCCGCAAUGGGCGAAAGCUUGACGGAGCAACGCCGCGUGAGUGAUGAAGGUCUUCGGAUCGUAAAACUCUGUUAUUAGGGAAGAACAAAUGUGUAAGUAACUAUGCACGUCUUGACGGUACCUAAUCAGAAAGCCACGGCUAACUACGUG